rnacentral:rRNA from 1 species
UACGUAGGGGGCAAGCGUUGUCCGGAAUCAUUGGGCGUAAAGAGCGCGCAGGCGGUCGUACAAGUCGCGUGUGAAAGCCCCCGGCUCAACUGGGGAGGGUCACGCGAUACUGUUCGACUCGAAGGCAGGAGAGGGUAGUGGAAUUCCCGGUGUAGUGGUGAAAUGCGUAGAUAUCGGGAGGAACACCAGUGGCGAAGGCGACUACCUGGCCUGUUCUUGACGCUGAGGCGCGAAAGCUAGGGUAGCAAACGGG